GUGACAGUGUUUAGUUACCCGCAAAAUUCACCCAAAAAUUUCAAUUCCCUGCUAAUCUCUCCAUCUUUCACUCAGCCUACUCAUACCCAUUACUCACUGAGACACGCGUCACUAAUCCUCCCUCAUAUGAAAACCCUAACCCAUCUUCCUCACACAAGCCUGGAUAGGGAGAGACAGAUCUGGAGAAAGAGAAUCGGGAGAGAGAGUGAUCCGCCCACACUCCGUCCGCCGGUAUCGAUGACGACUACGAUGGUAGGGGUAAACAACAAUGAAGACCAUCGUCCAUUGAGACGAUAGUGGUUCCGGCGAAUGGUACGGUGGUUGUUCGUGGUGCAUCGGACCCGAUCUCCGGCGACAUUAGAUAAUCUCUGACAGAAGUACUUGGUAAUGAGGAGACUUGUAUUCUUAGAGUUAAUCUACACUGUGAUGGUUGCAAACACAAAGUGAAGAAACUUCUUCAAAGAAUUGAUGGUAUUCUCUUUUUUGUCAUUUCUUUACCAUACAUGAACAAACCCUCUUGCAAUUUCAGCUAUAUAGCUCAUUGUUCUUUCUAUAUGCACACAUAUACAUGUAUGUACAAUAGGAAUAUAGGAUAAAGGCGUCAUCUUUUUCUCAUUUGUGGGGACUUUGUUGAUGUUUUUUUUUUUUAUGGAAUGAGGGUUAUUUUCAGAUGUGGGUAUAGUAUAGGUUACUUUGAUGGGUUGUUUUUUAUUAGGACUGUUUUGAUGUUGCUCACAAGAUGUUUGAUGUUUUGCUUGAAUGAGUUUUGAGAAUUGUCUUUUUUAUUUGUUCACUUGAACUUUCAUGGUAGUUAGUCAAGAUUUAAGUCUCUGAAUAUCAACUUGUGAAUUUGCUGACCAGAAGAUUGCUCAAACUUAGCUGCUAGCAUCUAUCUUGCUCAAAGUUUUACUUCAUUGUUGUUACUGCUUGCUAAUAUUAUUUAUGGGAUCUUUGGUAUUUUAUUAACUAGCAACACAGAAACUAAGAUUCUUUUAUGUCUUUUUGGCAUAUCAGUAGCGAUGUUCAUCGGGUUUUUUCUUCGGGUUUCGGGUUUUUCUCUGGGAAAAAUUGACCCGAUAACCAACCCAUUUUAAAGUUAGGGUUAGUCGGGUUUAGGUUAUUCGGGUUCGGGUUAGUUCGGGUUGGGUUAUUCAGUUUUCGAGUUUAGAUGUAAAAUGAAAAUAAAUGUUUUUUUUACAAUCAUCAAAAUUCCUAUUGUUACUUUAAAAAUAUAAUCAAAGUAUUUAAAAGUCUCAAAACUUAGUGUUCCAUCCAUUAAAGACUUCAAAUCUAAACACUUUUAUAAGAAAAAAAACAAUAAAUGUUCGGGUUUCGUGUUUCGGGUUUUUCGGGUCAGGUUGUUCGGGUUUUUGGCCUGGAAAAAGUGACCCGAUAACCGAACCAUUUAAAGUUCGGGUUGGUCGGGUUUGGUUCUCGGGUUCGGGUUGGUCGGGUUCAAUUGGAUCAGAAUUAACAUCUUCAAUUACAGCUUCUAAAGCGAUUUCUGCUACCAACCCGAACUUCAAAUACCAUGAAAACUGUAUUGAAGCCAUAUGGGCACACAAAACCUACAAUUUGACGAACCAAAAGCUCUGUUUAAUACCAUAUAUGCAUGUAUUUAUAAAAGUGUACAUAUACGUGUUCAAUAGAGAACCAACUGUAUGUACAGACUACAAUGCCGCCUUGUGUAUCUCAGUUAAUGCAAUAAGUACAAGUGUUAAUUUGAUUCUCACAAACCUCUACUUAAGAUUUGUUUUAAACUAAACGACCUCUAUGAUAGAUGUAUACAGUUACUAGCUAACGGCUUCUAAUAUACGGUUAUAACUUUGCUGAUGUUGCAUCUACUGAUUAACUGUUUCUGGUAUACGGUUAUAACUUUGCUGAGGUGGUGUCUACUGAUGACAUGGAGAUUACAAGUUAUCUUGUCUUCUCUGUUGGUCAUCUACUUAUAUUGUCCUUCGUUAUUUUUUUCCUUAAAUUAUUCUGUACUUUGAAAUAAUGAUAUGACGUUAUGACUAUUAGGGCUUUCUAAAAACUCGUAGCUUGUGGCUCGCUCGAAGCUUGCUCGAAAAAAGCUCCAUUGUAAACGAGUCGAGCCCUAGCUAGACAUGGCUCAGCUCGUGAUCAGCUCGCGAGAUUUAUUAUACACACACACAUGGUUUUUAAUAGUGUUAUAUGUAUAUUGUUCAUCAUCUGUAUCUUCGCUUUUGUUACAUCUCCUACACAUCUGAAUUGUGAACAAGUUAAUAGUUGUUACACUACUAUACUUUGCAUAUGGUAUUCCAAAUUAUUGGGAUGUAGUCAUGAAAAAGUGUUUGCAUUCACGGUUUUCUUCAUUGGAUCUUUAUUUUACCAUAAAAAUGCAUUAUAUGGCUAUAAGAGAAAACUUUAGAUGAAGCACUUGAAACCGAUUGUGAAUGAAGCAAUCCAUGCAAUUCCAAUAAAAACAACUUAAAUAUUAUGCAAUGGCCAUGCAGAUUCAGAAGUUGAAUCAUUAACCCAAACUGGUUUUGAACCCAAAUCGAACCCGAUUAGUUGAACCCGGUAUGGACACAAACCGUAGGGUUGAAAUCUGUUCGUAACCCAUACUUUCAAACCAGUCAUAACCCUGGUUUCAAACCGGUCAAACCCAAUCCCGAACUGGUUUGGACAAAAGCCUGAUUUAACCAUCUUUGACCCAACCUGAACUUGUUUCAACACCAACCGGUUUGGGCUCAUAAUUCGAUUUCUGCAUGACUGCACCUGUAGUCAGAGCGCUCUGUUAACUGUGGGGCCACAUUCACUUAUUGGCUGUUGUAACCGGACAAUAUAAACUAAAAACAGUUGCUAUUAUUAUAGUUUUUGAACAAAUGCUCUUCCUUGCGAGUUAAAUCUUGAUUAGUUAUUAAGUUAUUCCAGCUGAAGUUAUGAAGUCCUUGAACAUUCCCAAGGGAGUAAGACGUAAGAGCAUUAAACACUCAUAGGUAUUGAUUACUUGUCAGUUGCUGCUGCAUAUGGUUUCUGACACACGUAAAAGAACAUGCAUGCAGAAUCCAUAUAUAAAAACUAAAUAAAUAACGGGUGUACGUAGCUUAUUCGCAAGCUGGUCUGCAGCCAAUUCGCAGCCGGUCUGCAGCUUAUUCGCAGCCUGUUCGGAGCCGGUACGCAGGCUUGUUCGCAGCCGGUAUGCAGGCCUGUUCGCAGCCGGUUACGCAGGCCGGUGCGUAGCUUAUUCGCAGACUGCUCGCAGCCUGUUCGUAGCCGGUACGCAGGCAUGUCUGCAGCCGCUCAGCAGGCCUGUUUGCGGCUGGUCUGAGUUGUCAAACAUGCGAUGUUUAUACAUGGACAUGGAGCUCGCGACAACAAUAAGGGUUUCAAGGUUGAUAAACGGGCGACGACACUUCUACCAACUACGACAGUCUCAACUGAAGCUCGCGACAACAAUAAGGACGUCGAACCCACAACGGUCUGUUGAAGGAAGCUCCGACAGCUACGGUUCAGAACUAAACACAAGUUCAACCGUUAAGCUUGCUGCAAUCUCUGAGCUAACAAGGUAAUCAGUAAAUUUACUCUAAGUUAUGUGGCAAUAUUAACUCCCUUGACUAUCUAUCUAUUAACGUUAUUUUUUACUCGCGAGCCAAGCACGAGCUUCAGAAAAAACAUGACGAGCUGAGCUCGAGCCCAGUCGAGCUCGGGCUCGACCCGGCUCGUUUACAUCCUAGCUCAAAGUGUAGUACCACGAGAACUGCCUCUCCGUGAUGUGGUUUACAGAAGCAUUUGGAAAGUUCUAUGGAAGCUCAAAACAGGGAACCAGCAAUGAUAAACGUCGUGCUGGUGUUCAUGAAAACUAUAUCAAUUGCAUUGUGCCACUGAAGAAAUCGGAGGGUACCAAAUUGACCAGCUCGGAGGGUAGUACCAAAUUGACCAGCUUUAGCAUGUGUUAUUCAGCUUAACUCUAUGGUCUGCUAUGUAUCUUGAGAUUAUUUGGAACUAUGUUAAUUCUAUUGUGUUUGCGGAUUGUUUGAUUUGUACAUGUAUUACCCAAUAAAACUUAAUUCGCUAUAUUUGUCCCUUACAAAUAUUAAUUCAUUACAUUUUGCCGUGUUU